CCAAACUACCUUGGAGGAGCAGGAAGCCCCAGCAUAUCAAAUACCCUGUGAUUUGGCCACCUGAGCUCCUGGCUUCUAGUUUAAGACUCAAGGUUUUGCCGAACCUGCAGCUCUCUAGCUACCAGCAACCCAGCUAGGACUGUAAUCUACCUCCCAGCAAGUUAUUGGAAGGAACAAAAGCCAUUCAGGUGUUGCUAAUGAAAAGCAUCUCGUGCAAGUUCCAACGUAGCCAGGAAGAAAGAGGAUUCAUACAGAAAGGCUCUCCGCUGUGGGAAGUAGUGACGGAGGCAUCCUUUAGCCUUUGCUCUGGCUAACCACCUUGCGCAGCCCCGAGCAGUUUUCAAAACAGAACUCU